rnacentral:rRNA from 1 species
UACGUAGGGGGCAAGCGUUGUCCGGAAUCAUUGGGCGUAAAGCGCGCGUAGGCGGCCAGAUAAGUCCGGUGUGAAAGUCACAGGCUCAACCUGUGAAUGCCGCUGGAAACUGUCUGGCUAGAGUCCGGGAGGGGCGAGUGGAAUUCCUGGUGUAGCGGUGAAAUGCGCAGAUAUCAGGAGGAACACCAAUGGCGAAGGCAGCUCGCUGGAACGGAACUGACGCUGAGGCGCGAAAGCGUGGGGAGCGAACAGG